ACUGGUUAAAUACAUUAUGGUACACUCACACAAUGGAAUACUAUGCAGCGGUAUAAAAGAAUGAAAAAGUAAUUUAUGUCUUAAUAUGAACCGAUGUCUGAGAAAUAUUGGUGAAAAAAAGCAAGAUACAGACCAAUAUAAAGUAUGCUACCAUUUGUGUAAAAAAGCUUGUGUGUGUGUAUGUGUGGUGUGUGUGCACACGUGCAUACACUUGCACAUCGCCUGGAAUCUGUCUGAAGGAAACCUCAAAACACAAUCUUGACUACCUUUAAGGAGGUGACUUGAAUAUCUGGAAAGGGAGACUUUUCACUGUACACUUGAAUGCCUUGUGAUUUUUGUACCAUAGACAAGCUUAUCCAUCCAAAAAAUUAAAGUCACAUUGAAAUAAUAAAUGAAUCCAGAAAGGAAGCUUCAUCAUUCCUCAGUGGGCAUCUUUAUUGGGCAUCAGCGCUGGUGUGGAGGAGGUUCCUGGUUCCACCCACGGCUUCUCAUGGAGUCUCCAUCCAAGCUGCGCAGGCUCCAGCAGGCCGCAGGCUCGCAGGCGACGGGAAGUCCCACUUCUUUCAGUGGAGAGAAGCUGCUGUGUUUCCCUCUGUCUUCACCCACAGGAUUGACCGUCCCCUCUCCCGGAGGAAAACCCAGCAGCGGCUUCACCCACGCACAAGGGAGCCCAGGCAGUUCCCUUCUGCCGGAGAGGCUACGCUGCCGUCACCUACCCACACGCCAGAGACAUCUGAGUCACACACGUGAGCCACACGCCCCUGAGCACACACAUGCACACACUCGCACACACGCACAUACACACUUGCACACACACAAAUGGAAGCCCAAGCCCGUCCUGUCGGGGA
rnacentral:lncRNA from 1 species